GUUUCUUUGUCAAAAUAUCAACUACUCUUGAUUAAUCGAUCUAUCACAAGAUUAGAUCAUAAACAACUCUAAUCCACCCCUAGUGGAAUAUUCAUCAAAGUCAGUUGACAACCUCAAGUUCUUUCAAAUAGAGGGUUGAUAUUAAUUGAAGAAGUACAAGCUUUAGAUUUAGGAGGAAAGAGGCUACACCAAAAUAUUCCAGAUCCAAAAUCAAAAUCGAUAAUCUAUUAAUUCUAGUCUCAAGAUGUUAAUCAUUUCCUUAGCAUGAC
rnacentral:lncRNA from 1 species